rnacentral:lncRNA from 1 species
UUUUUUUUUUUUUUUUAAGAUCAAGGAAUGACAGUAAUUAAAAGUAACUGCUCUUUAGAAAACCUUUAUUGGAAUUUAACAGAAAAUAAAGUUUAAAGGGUUCACAUUUUCCCUUAAUGCCAUUCUUUCCAUCUUGACUAUAAUAUAAUCUAGUAAGAAGGGCCUGGUUUCCAUCCCAUAUUCUUCAUUAUUGAUUUUCGGGGAGAUAACUUGCAGCUAGGCUGGAAGGCCAUAAAAUAGCAGUUGAUAAUACUAGGCUGAAAUUUUGGAGAGGAGGGAGCGGUUUGCUCAUUAGCCCAAUCCAUUUUAUCCCUAAGCCAUCAGAAAGGUCUUCAGCAUUGAUUGUAUCCAAGCAUUAGAGUGAAGUUUUGACUCUUAACACGGUGCUUCUCAAACUAUGUAUGUAUGAAAAUGCAGAUUCUGAUUUCAGCAGGUCUGGGAUGCGUCCUGAUGGUUCAUCUCUAAAAGCUCCCGCAUGAUCGCGCAAAUGCUGAUGUCUGUGGCCUGCAUUUGUGGUAGUUAGGCCUGUGGGGCUUCGGGCUGCGGAUGAGGUGAUAACACAAGCAGGUGUAAGCCCCAGAAAUUGUUGCCACAAAAGAUAGAAUUUAGUAUUUUUUUAGAUAGCUUUUUCAAGGUUAUGAUCGGGGAUGCAGACUGGUCUUGAAGGCUUCAAAGUAAAGGUCAAAGGUUUUUCAGGAGUCAAGUGUAGAAUUUUGCUUCAUUUGGAGCUUUUUUUAGAUACAGGAAAUUUGUGCUUUGGGGAGGAAGAUUUAUAUUUUUAAAUAGGCAGACAGUUAUGUAUUUCAUGUUGUAAAGAAACUUACUAAAUAAGAGGCCAUGUGAACCUUUUCCCAACAGUAGUGUGUGUGGAUUAUGUUCUCUUUUUUAGCAUAAAACUAAAUUUUCAGGUAUUAGAAAUAUAUCUAGUCUGUAAAUAAAUCUUGCCUUCUAAGUUAAGGAGCUUCACUAUUUUACUAAUAACCAUUGUAGACAGACUACUCCUGGCAGUGAAGUUAGCAAUACCAAACAAAGUCGUAGCUGACAGAUGUGACUUGUCAUUGUAGUAAAGAUCUCUGGUUACUUUGCUGUUAAUUGUUGAGAAUUUCUGUUUUAUCUUAAAAUGGGGUCUGAAAGAUGUUGAAUAAUUUGGUUCUCUAAAAAUGAGUUUUUCUUAGCCUUCCGUUUCCUUUAUGUCUUAAAUACUCUUCAUAUGAAUUGGACUCAUCCAGAGCACUUAAUACAGCCCGGAGUUAAGUAACGGGUGUUUUGAAUUGAUAUAUGAAAAUGUGUCGAUGGCUUGAUCUGUAAAACAAAUCUGGGCCUUAGUUUGUGAUGGUCUGAUGAAUGAUACGUUUAUUA